CAUCCAGGUAGGGAACUACGUGCCAGGAAAAACCCAAUGGGAAAAGGUUCCCAGGAGCCUCCAGGUUAUCCCUGCUGCUUGUGAGGAGGGGCUGAAGGAGGGGGUAUGAAUCAGAAAGAAAAUGGAAAUAUGUGUGAGGUCUGGCUUGUUGUUUCCAGAGUUUCUUGGCAUCAUGGGUGAAGCCCUCCCAGGAGCUGACCAGGGAGCUGACCUAAAGGGCAGGCCAGCACGUGCUACAGGGACAUCUGAGAGAGGCUCAAGCUCUGCAGUCAGGUGUUUUUCCAUGGAUUCCUAGGCUCCCCUCCUGGACAGCACCAGGAAUGUGGCCUUCCAGGGUAGGGAAAGGGCAGACCUGGCUGAGCAGAGCCACACCCAGCCACACCCCAUGGGUCAAUCACUG
rnacentral:lncRNA from 1 species